CCUACGGGUGGCUGCAGUGGGGGAUAUUGGACAAUGGGGGAAACCCUGAUCCAGCGACGCCGCGUGAGUGAAGAAGUAUUUCGGUAUGUAAAGCUCUAUCAGCAGGGAAGAAAGAAAUGACGGUACCUGAAGAAAAAGCAUCGGCUAACUCCGUGCCAGUAGCCGCGGUAAUACGGGGGAUGCGAGCGUUAUCCGGAUUUAUUGGGUUUAAAGGGUGCGCAGGCGGAGGCACAAGUCAGCGGUAAAAUCGCGGGGCUCAACCCCGCUCCGCCGUUGAAACUGUGUCCCUUGAGUGCGCGAAGGGUAGGCGGAAUGCGUGGUGUAGCGGUGAAAUGCAUAGAUAUCACGCAGAACUCCGAUCGCGAAGGCAGCCUACCGGCGCGCAACUGACGCUCAUGCACGAAAGCGUGGGUAUCGAACAGGAUUAGAUACCCCAGUAGUC
rnacentral:rRNA from 1 species